rnacentral:rRNA from 1 species
CGUCUUCUGCCCACUUCUAUAAAAGAUAAUGCCUGCCCAGUGAGAACCUUUCUUAAACGGCCGCGUUAGCGUGAGCGUGCUAAGGUAGCGCAAUAAAUAGCCUCUUAAUUGGAGGCCAGUCAAUGGCGAGACUAGGGACACCUGUACCUUACAUAAUAAAAAAAUUUUUCAUUUAAGUGAAAAGACUUAAAUAAUAAAGGAAGACGAAAAGACCCCGCGGAACUUUACCUUUUCUAGUACCCACAUGCUCAAAAACACGAAAACAAAAGGUUUGAUUGGGGCAAUCUCGGAAUCAAUCAAACUUCCGAUUCACCACAAAAGUCAUACAAAGCUUUAUAAGAACUAAAAAGAAGUUACCCCGGGGAUAACAGCGUAAUCUAACUUGAGAGUACACAUCGAAAGUUGGGUUUGCGACCUCGAUGUUGGCUUAAGGAUAUCCACAUAAGUGCAACCGCUAUGACAGGAUAGUCUGUUCGACUAUUAUACCCUU